rnacentral:rRNA from 1 species
CCCUUAGAUGUUCUGGGCAGCACGCGCGCUACAAUGGUCUUCGCAAACGGAUGCAUUCUCGAAGGAGAAUGCCAAUCUUGGAAUCUAUGCCUUGGUCGGGACAGUUGCUUGCAAUUUUUCGACUCGAACCAGGAAUUCCUUGUAAUCGUGAUUCAUCACAUCACGAUGAAUACGUCCCUGCCCUUUGUACACACCGCCCGUCGCUCCUACCGAUUGAAUGAUCCGAUGAAUAUCAUGGAUUGAGGAUUAUAGCAGGUUCGCCUGUCUUGAUCUUCGAGAAGUGAAGUAAAUCUUAUCAUUUAGAGGAAGGAGAAGUCGUAACA